UAUAUAUAUAGUAAAUUUGUUAGGGGCACCAUGGUGCCCGGGCUCCAUAGCCAUCCACCGUCCAAAUGCUUUAAGAUCCGUGCAACACACUAGAGGAUGCUAUCACACAUUAACGGGUCUAACCCGAUAAGAGUUGCAUGCAUAUACUUUCCUUAGAACAUGCAUGCAGGUAUUUCCAUUUUUACUGUGCAUGUAUUUCCAAAUUUGCGCCCUCUAAUCAUGCAUACACAUUAUGAUUAGCACUUUCCAUUUUCUAUAUCACAUUUCCAUAUAUACAACGUUUGCAUGCAGAUACUUACCUUUUGAAUCAUGAUUCGUUUUUGAAAAAUGACGCCAUUCCACUAAUUGCGAUUAUUGCCAUCUAUUUUCAAGAUUACAUUCCAUUUUCAAGAUGCACAUAUAACCGGCUACUGUAUUCCUUUUUUUGAUUUUUCUUUUCCACACUGUUUCACGGUCCAAGAGCUAGCUAUCCACAUCGUCUUCACCGAGUUACCUCGCCGGGAUUGCUCGCCAUGCCGUGAAGAGGGCCGACGUCCGUGGUUUUCGUCACCGACGACGUUCGUCCACAAGCCUCUUGCUGGAAACCAGAACUCCUCAACCAUUUUUGUCAAGCCAUCACAGCGCCUGAUGUCCAAGUGCCUUUUCGCUGCCGUCGCUGGUUGUUCGUGAGCUUCGGAACAGACAUUAUUCACUAGCAAGCUGCAUUACCUGAAAGCAUGCCGCGGCUUCCAAAGUGUGCGAGCAUGAGAAGAAAUGUGAAGCGUCGUUCCAUUCACGAUGAUGAUGACUUUGUCACUCCACCUACAAGGAAGAAGGCUGUUCGUGUUAAAUUCGUGGCACCGGUUUCGCGUUGUGUACCAUCUUCCAUCACACCUAUCAUACAGAGAUUUAGUGCUGAAAAGAAAGAGCUGGUAGCUGAGAUAAUUAUGUCAUUCAUCUUGUGGGAUAUACAUGUAUACGUGUUCGCUCUGUCACUCAUAAACCUAUGUGUACAUGUACACCUGUAAAAGUACAGAUUAUGUCAUUAAUCUUGUGGUAUUCAGACGUGCAUUUUUUCACUCUCUCUCUAUCCCGUUGACUAUGGCCAAUUAGUACCGAAAUCACUCGUUGGUUACUAAAUUAAUCAAUUGAUACCCAAUUCUGACUGGAUCGAUCCAUGCUGACGGUAACAAAUUAUAUUAUGUAACCUAUCGGUCGUAAUAGCUAUAAAUAUUACCAUAAAUAAGAUCUUUAUACUUGGUAAUGAUAUUAAUUUUUUCAUUCCUUCCAACGGAGACACAAUUGCAACAUAUAAAGAGCAGAACAAUACGACUCUGCUCACUUCUGGUGCUCUCUCUGGUUCUCGCCAACAACACAUUUCUGUUCCAGUAGCUAUGGACAAGAUGAACACUAGUGCCCGGAGCGAGAAGAUCGAUCAGUCGCUGCAGAAGUAUGAUCACCCACGCUGCCGUUGGCACAUAUUAUUUGGUACGAAGUCAGAACUACACAACUUAUAUCAUGCACGCACAGCAAGUGAUUUUGAAGAUACUUGGACGGCCCUAGUCAAUGAGUAUGGUCUUCAAGAGGAGAAUGCAUAUCUCCAAAAGGCGCAGAUGUUAAUAGACGAUGAAACGAAGCCCAAUGAUUCACAGGAGAUAGAUACAGACCGUAAAGAUGUCAAGAGGGAGGUGGAGGCUCCUAAGUUGAUCAUUUCUCGUCAUAGUGAUGAUAAAUUCUCAUCCUAGUGAUGAGAAAUGAGACUCGCCCACCGUCUGAAUAGCAAACAUGAGGCAACAUGCAAGUACCAGCCGAAAAUCAACUCUCUGAUGGUGUGAUAUGGUUGCCAGCCAUCGGUCAAAUAAGCAGCCAUUUUGUGUUUUUACAUUUAUGAAUC